GCAUUGCAAUGGCCUCCAAACAUAAACUUGACUCACAGGAUCCCAACUACUAAGAGGGGAGACGCAUGGCUCAUGAACUGAAACUAGACCGUUUUCUAGCUGAAGCCAGGACUGCAGCUGUGGAGAGAAAACGUGCACGCUCUGUAGGAGACCCACCACAGACCUCUAAAAGGGAGUUUUUAGGACAUGGCAAGCCGAGGGUGAGGCAAGGAGGGCGACACCAAGCUUCAGCUACAGUCAUACACACCCCGGUUGAAUGCUCCCUUUCAUCCAGUGUGGAGGUUCCACUUACUGUACCCUCAGCAGAACUAAAUCCUCACGAGCAAUUUGAAAAAAAUAUGGAGAGGUUCUCCGAUAUUUUGACAUCUUAUCCUUCUGCUGAGCCUCAGAAAAGCUCUGCAUCAUCAUGGUCUUUUCGGCAGCAGAAAUCCUCAGAGCGCUGGAAAGAAGCAAGUCCAUACCACCUAAAAUGCCUUAUUGCAUAAGAGGCUGUUGGUCAGCCUUUGUGUUGGCUUU